GUUCUAGCUUCGGCAGCACAUACACUGAAAUCGGAACGGCACGGAGAAGAUUAGCGUGGCCCCCCGCACAAGGAUGACCCGCAAAUUCGUGAAGCGUUCCGUAUUCUU